GUUUGAUCAUGGCUCAGGAUGAACGCUAGCGGGAGGCUUAAUACAUGCAAGUCGAGCGAGAAGGUGGCUUCGGUCACUGGGGAGCGGCGCACGGGUGAGUAACGCGUACAUGACCUACCUUUAAGACUGGGGUAGCCCUGGGAAACUGGGAUUAAUACCGGAUGUGGUAAUAGUUAUAGAAGAUUAUUAUUAAAGCUGAGGUGCUUAGAGAUGGGUGUGCGUCUGAUUAGCUAGUUGGUAGGGUAAGGGCCUACCAAGGCGACGAUCAGUAGGGGGCGUGAGAGCGUGAUCCCCCACACGGGUACUGAGACACGGACCCGACUCCUACGGGAGGCAGCAGUAAGGAAUAUUGGUCAAUGGACGGAAGUCUGAACCAGCCAUCCCGCGUGCAGGAUGAAGAUUCUAUGGAUUGUAAACUGCUUUUAGCAUAGAAGAAACGCUUUCAUUAAUGAGAGUCUGACGGUAUAUGCAGAAUAAGCACCGGCUAACUCCGUGCCAGCAGCCGCGGUAAUACGGGGGGUGCAAGCGUUAUCCGGAAUUACUGGGUUUAAAGGGUGCGUAGGCUGAUGGGUAAGUCAGUGGUGAAAAGCUA
rnacentral:rRNA from 1 species